rnacentral:lncRNA from 1 species
CUCCACAGAGAUGGGGACUGCCCUGGGCACCAGCUUGUGAUGGGGGCCGCGGUCCACAGCGAUGGGUGGUGCCGGCUGGUGACACGGCAUAGAGGGGCAGCGACCAACAAGGCAUUAAAGAGGUUAUAUACAUCAUAAAUGACAUGGCAGACAAAAUAGUUAAGGAACACAAAACUGUUAUGACAAGAUUCAUGGGACACGUUUAAGUGGAAAGAGGUGAAUGUGGGUGACACUGUGAAGGCCUCGAAUGGGGAGCUCCUUCCUGCAGACACAGUCCCGAUGUGUUCAUAUAGCAACAUCUAAUCCGGAUAGAGAGACAAAUGUAAGACACGGCAGGCUUUGCCAGAAACAGCUGAAAUGCAAACAGAAAACCAGCUGUUAGGCCUAUCUGGAAAAAUAGACCGUGAAGCACCUGAUCGUCAUUUCAAUGGCUGAGCUUCCGCCUAGGUGGUAAAAGCCCUGUUCCAAUAGGGCCUGACUGGGUCUUGUUAAGAGAUACACAGCUUAGAAAUGCUCAGUGGAUUGGCCGGGCGAGGUGGCUCACGCCUGUAAUCCCAGCGCUUUGGGAGGCCGAGGCGGGAGGAUCAUGAGGUCAGGAGAUUGAGACCAUCCUGGCUAACACAGUGAAACCCCGUCUCUACCAAAAAUACAAAGAAAUUAGCUAGGCGUGGUGGCGGGCGCCUGUAAUCCCAGCCACUCAGGAGGCUGAAGGACGAGAAUGGCAUGAAGCCGGGAGGCGGAGCUUGCAGUGAGCCAAGAUGGCGCCCACUCCAGCCUGGGCACCAGAGUGAGACUCCGUCUCAAGAAAAAAAAAAAAGAAAUGCUCAGUGGAUCACUGGCAUAGUUGUUUACACUGGCUUUGAAACCAAAUUCCUGCAGAAUUCUGUCAAAUCACCUCAAGAGAUCAGAGAUUAAGAAAGUGACAAUGGGCGGGUCUCCCUUUGGUUCCUGCUGCUCUGGUCAUGUCUGUAGUGAGCUGCGUGGGAGCCGUGCUAUGGAAUAAAAAGUAUGGUGACAUUUGGUACCUGAAAGAGGAUUCCAGCUCACAGCAUUGUGUUUGACAUACUGGUGUUCAUCAUCUUAUAACAGUACCUCAUCCCCAUUAGUC